UUUCCCUCCACUUCAACUUCAAGUUUUACUCACUCAUCAUCAUCAAAAUCAGAAUCCUCAGACGCCUCAUCAUCAACCUCUUCAUCCUCUUCCUCAGAAUCACUGAUCACAUACGUCAUCUUCUUUCUGUUAGCCCUUUGCGGCCUCGCUUUUGCACCAACUUCACCGCUCGAUUCUCCAACAACCAUCUCGUCCUCUUCUUUCUCCUCCUCCCCUUUCUUGUUCAACACAGACCCGCUUUUCUUGUUAAACGGCGACGGCCUCAUCUUCCUCACCUUCUUCUCAGGUGAUGCUUCCACCACUGGCUUCAACACUUCAGUAAUCAGCUUCUGUCCACCAGUUUGUUUUGACGUCUUCGCGGCUGCACCAGCAGCCGCCCCUCUUUUCUUGGUUGCUGCUGCUGCUGGAGGCUUGGCUGCAGCCGGUUUGCGACCGCCUUUCUUUUUCUCCUCAGGUGGUGCUACUAGAACUUCGAAGUCAGAAUCGUCGCUCAAGUCAAUAUCCUCUUCAUUUUCGUCAUCAGAGAUGAUGGUGGUGGCCUUCUUCUUGGCAGCAGCAAUUCUUUUAGCAGGAGAUGAUUCAAUGUUAUGUUUAGCUAAUCGAUCUUCCAGCUCAACGAUUUCAUCAUCCUGAACAGAAUGCAAGUUUUGUUGAGCCAUACGCUCUGCGAGUGAAGGGAUUUCGUCAUCGUCUUCAUCUACCAAAGUAGCUUUCCCCUGAUCACCGAUAUAAACGGU
rnacentral:lncRNA from 1 species